GAUGAAGAACGUAGCGAAAUGCGAUAAUUAAUGUGAAUUGCAGAAUUCAGUGAAUCAUCGAAUCUUUGAACGCACAUUGCGCCCGCCAGUAUUCUGGCGGGCAUGCCUGUUCGAGCGUCAUUUCAACCAUCAAGCCCCCGGGCUUGUGUUGGGGUCCUGCGGCUGCCGCAGGCCCUGAAAAGCAGUGGCGGGCUCGCUGUCACACCGAGCGUAGUAGAUUUUAUCUCGCUCAGGGCGUGCUGCGGGUUCCGGCCGUUAAACCACCUUCAUAACCCAAGGUUGACCUCGGAUCAGGUAGGAAGACCCGCUGAACUUAAGCAUAUCAAUAAGCGGAGGA
rnacentral:misc_RNA from 1 species